rnacentral:rRNA from 1 species
GGGGCGGUGGUCGGUCCCGAGGGUUGGGCUGGUCGCCCAUUAAAGCGGUACGCGAGCUGGGUUCAGAACGUCGUGAGACAGUUCGGUCCCUAUCCGUCGUGGGCGUAGGAAAUUUGAGAGGAGCUGUCCUUAGUACGAGAGGACCGGGAUGGACAUACCUCUGGUGUACCAGUUGUCGUGCCAACGGCAUAGCUGGGUAGCUAUGUGUGGACGGGAUAAGUGCUGAAAGCAUCUAAGCAUGAAGCCCCCCUCAAGAUGAGAUUUCCCAACUUCGGUUAUAAGAUCCCUCAAAGAUGAUGAGGUUAAUAGGUUCGAGGUGGAAGCAUGGUGACAUGUGGAGCUGACGAAUACUAAUCGAUCGAAGACUUAAUCAAAUU